rnacentral:rRNA from 1 species
AACGAACGCUGGCGGCAGGCCUAACACAUGCAAGUCGAACGCUGUAGCAAUACAGAGUGGCAGACGGGUGAGUAACGCGUGGGAACCUACCCUUUGGUUCGGAAUAGCUCAGGGAAACUUGAGGUAAUACCGGAUACGCCCUUCGGGGGAAAGAUUUAUCGCCAAAGGAUGGGCCCGCGUCGGAUUAGCUAGUUGGUGGGGUAACGGCCUACCAAGGCGACGAUCCGUAGCUGGUCUGAGAGGAUGAUCAGCCACACUGGGACUGAGACACGGCCCAGACUCCUACGGGAGGCAGCAGUGGGGAAUAUUGGACAAUGGGGGCAACCCUGAUCCAGCCAUGCCGCGUGAGUGACGAAGGUCUUCGGAUUGUAAAGCUCUUUUGGCGGGGAAGAUAAUGACGGUACCCGCAGAAUAAGCCCCGGCUAACUUCGUGCCAGCCGCCGCGGUAAAAC